UGGGAAUUGUAGCCAAUCGUCGGCAGCGUCAGAUUAUAAGAUGAAACUGGGAUUAGAUACCCCACUAUGCUUAGCCCUAAACCUAGAUAGUUAGCUCAAACAAAACUAUCCGCCAGAGAACUACUAGCAACAGCUUAAAACUCAAAGGACUUGGCGGUGCUUUACACCCCUCUAGAGGAGCCUGUUCUAUAAUCGAUAAACCCCCCUGUCUCUUAUAC
rnacentral:rRNA from 1 species